GACGAACGCUGGCGGCAAGCUUAACACAUGCAAGUCGAGCGCCCCGCAAGGGGAGCGGCAGACGGGUGAGAAACGCGUGGGAACGUGCCUUUCGGUUCGGAACAACUGUGGGAAACUUCAGCUAAAACCGGAUACGCCCUUCGGGGGAAAGUUUACGCCGAAAGAUCGGCCCGCGUUAGAUUAGCUAGUUGGUGGGGUAAUGGCCUACCAAGGCGACGAUCUAUAGCUGUUCUGAGAGGAAGGUCAGCCACACUGGGACUGAGACACGGCCCAGACUCCUACGGGAGGCAGCAGUGGGGAAUAUUGGACAAUGGGCGCAAGCCUGAUCCAGCUAUGCCGCGUGGAUGAAGAAGGCCUUCGGGUUGUAAAGUCCUUUCGUUGGUGACGAUAAUGACGGUAACCAAAGAAGAAGCCCCGGCUAAUUUCGUGCCAGCCGCCGCAGUAAAAC
rnacentral:rRNA from 1 species